rnacentral:rRNA from 1 species
GGGGAAUAUUGCACAAUGGGGGGGAACCCUGAUGCAGCGACGCCGCGUGGGUGAAGGAGCACCUCGGUGCGUAAAGCCCUAUCGGCAGGGAAGAAACAGACGGUACCUGACUAAGAAGCCCCGGCUAACUACGUGCCAGCAGCCGCGGUAAUACGUAGGGGGCAAGCGUUAUCCGGAUUCACUGGGUGUAAAGGGAGCGUAGACGGCGACGCAAGUCUGGAGUGAAAGCCCGGGGCCCAACCCCGGGACUGCUCUGGAAACUGCGUCGCUGGAGUACGGGAGGGGAAGGCGGAAUUCCUGGUGUAGCGGUGAAAUGCGUAGAUAUCAGGAGGAACACCGGCGGCGAAGGCGGCCUGCUGGACCGUGACUGACGUUGAGGCUCGAGAGCGUGGGGAGCAAACAG